UUUGUACAUUGACACAUCCAAUUCGUGAUAGCCUUUAUUUCCUUCUACAUCCAACUGAUCUUGGAAUCUUUGAGCUUGUAAUUCAAUUUGUACCUCCAAUUCAUCCAUAUUCAGAUAACCCUUCUAGAUUUGAUCUUCCAAGAGUUGACAGAUGAUGUUAUCAUCCAUUGAUAAAAUUUGACAAGUCCAUAAUCUAGAAAUCAAUUCAAUAAUAUUGGUGGAUUAAUGGUGUCAGUUGAAGAAUUUCACAGAAGGAAUCGGAGAAAGAAUUAGGAGGAUUAGGAGGAAGAAUUGAAUAGGAGAGAGAAGAAAGAAUCAGUAAGGACCAGAGAUAGAACAGAGAGAGGGGAAAGGAAGAAAGAAAUAGAGAUGAAGAAAGAUCUUGCAAUUGCUGGGUCCCAAAAGCUUCCAUCCGAGGAUUGGAAGCUGUGAUACCAAUUUUAAUGAUUUGGUUCCAGAAAAUAGGGAGAAAGGAGAGAAUAUAGAAAAGAAAGAGGAGUUUCAGAGAAUAGAAUCAGAAAAUGCAGAGGAAAGAGGAGAGAAUCGUAUUAUUUAGGAAGAGGGAGACUUUUCACAACUCAAUUCUUCCCUUCACUACAUAGGUCAUCCUUUAUUUAUACAAUCAAUUGAUCCAGUUAGAAUCUAAUUAACUCGUAUUUUAAGUGUUUCUAACUAACUCACUCUUAACUAAUUUUUGAGUUGACAAGUAGUAUAACAACUUAUUGAUCAUCACCCUAUUUGCUUAGAUGGUCAACUCCUCCUUGGGUCAUAACAUUAGCCUUUAAUUGUGAUAAUUUUGAGGAGUUAUAUUUGCAAUGAGAAUUGAAAUUUAACACUAAUUUAUAAAAGUAAUAAACCUAGCGAGUACACUCACAAGAGUAGAAGUGCAUUUUUGUAGUUUUGGUGAUUUUUUGUUCCAUGUAAUUUCAUAGAACUUCAUGAAUUUAUAAAUAGUUUCAUAAUCAUGAGAGUAGGUAUGGAAUAGUUAUACGUAUAGUUGAUUCACUACGAGAGUAGGUUUUAUAUGCAUUAGGAUAUUAUGGCAUGGUUAGCUGAGGUAGUAGUGCCCAAUGAUCCGAAAUUUAUACUUGUAUGAAUAGUUAGGGAUAUCAUAACCUAAAGAGCUUUCAUUUGUUAUUUUCUUGUGGAUUUUAGCGUAGUUUUAUUUCUUUCAAUUUGUUAAUCAUCUAAAUAAUAAAAGAGUUUUAGUAGUACAGUAAUUAUCUAUUUUUCCUUGCAGAUUCGAGUCUUAAUACCCUAUACUCAAUUUUGACUCAUAUACUUGCGAAAAAUCACGUGUGAAAUAUUUAAAAUUUUAUAAAUAUAAAACUUGAUUGUAGAUUGAACGUACGAUUGUAUGUACACCCCACGCUUGUCAAGUCCAAUUAGUAUACGGUUGGCUUUUAGUUUAUGUCCAAGUCUGUGAUUAAAGUUAAUUUGGUAGAUUCCUUAUCCAUUAUAGGUUUCCAAUUAGCAAGUAUAGUACUAGUCAAAAUUUUUUCAUAUUUUCCUUCUAAUGUUUAUUAGCUCUUAGUUUCCCGUAGUGCUCUGGCAAUUCCAAAACCGCUCAACCAAUCCAAGUCUUAGUCCAAGCAUCUACUGGAUUAUGUAUUUAGUUUUGAGAUUGUUUUAGCUAUUAGGAAACAGACUACUCCAUAUAUACAUGUAUUAGUCUAGUACACUGUUUCUUAAAGAAUUGAGUCGAGUUUUGAAAAAUGAGUUGCAAAAAACCUUGAGAGCUUGUUGAGUUGUUGGAUAAGUGGAAAAGUCCCUAAGAAUUGUACUUAGUGAGUUGUCAUAAGUGAGAGGUUAUGACUUAAUAUUGUAAUUGUUGAGUUUUGAGUUAAUAAAAUCAUUGAGUAUUUGUUUGCAUGUUUAUUUUCCUUCUUUUUCUGCAUAUUUUUAUAUAUGCUAAAAUUGCUUUCGUUGGUGUAAUUUCUUGUGUCAACAAGUGGCAUCAAAGCUUUGGAUUUUGAUCUUGGGACUUGUUUACGAAAUUAGGACACAAAAAUAGAAGAUUUGUUGUUGAAAAUUAAGACACUAAAUUGGUCCUAACUGAGUAGAGAUUAAAAAAUUUGAAAUAUGGAUCUGUAUUAUUUAUAAUAUUGUAUUGUUUUUAACUUCAAUGGUAAAAAUGAAUUUGAAACUUGGAGUAUGAUGAUGAAGACAUUUUCUCAAGCUAUUAGAGUUUUGAGAUAUUGUCCAAAUGGGGUUUUCUCAAGAAUUGGAGAGAAAUAUAAAGUUGGAUCGCAAAGAAUUGUUUCAAUACCGAAGUCUACUUGCAUGUAUUCAAAAAAGUCAUACAUGUAAAGAUGGCAAGGGAGGCUUGAAUAGUUUUGGCAAAUUCUAAUCAGGGUGCACUUGAAGAUGAAAAAAUUUUGGUUCGAACAGAAAUUUCACAUGUGAUCGAGAAAUAAAGUGAAUCAUUAGUGAAAUUACUGAUGUGACCAAAGAUCCUGAUGAGUUAGAAAUUUUUAAUUUUGUGAGAGUUGAUGAAUUAUUUGAAGAAGAAAAUCAAAUAGUUGAGUUUGUUAAGAACAAUUAUGGAGUAGACAAUUUAGUUGAAGAUUGUGGUUGUACUAAAACUGAUGUAGUUGUUAGUAUAAACUAAACAGAACAAGAUUGUGGUGGUAUUAAUAACUUUGUUGGUGGAAAUUAUGAUUUUGUGUAUACAAUUUGAGUUUGAGGAAUGCCCCAAUCACCCACCUCAAAUUGUCUUUCAGUCCAAUUUUUGUUAGCAAAGACCUUCAUCCUAUUUUGAGCCUUAGUUAGAUGUUCCUUAAUGGUUUGCAACAUGAAUACUCUGUCUUAUACAAAUGAAUUGGUAACAGGAGUGAAUGUGUCAAAGUGAGGUCCCAGAGGCAGAGGUGAAGGCUCAUAACCAUAUAAUGCUUCAAAAGGUGACAAUUUCAAGCUUGUGUGAUAAGAGGAAUUGUACCACCAUUUUGCUAAAUUAUGCCACUUACUGAUUAGGCAUAUCUCUUAUCAUGCACCUUAAAAAUGACUCUGAGCAUUGAUUUAGUCUUUCACUGUGUCUAUCCAUUUGUGUAUGGUAGGAUGAACUAUAAUGCAAUUCAAUUCCCACUAGUCUAAACAUCUCUUGUCAAAACUUACUAGUGAAAACUUUAUCUGUUAGUAAUAAUAGACUCUGGAAGCCCAUGUAGUUUGUAAAUAUUCUCUAGAAACAAGUAAGCCACCUGCAGAGCUGAGAAUGGAUGGGUUAAUGGAAUGAAAUGGCCAAAUUUGGUCAAUCUAUCAACUACUACUAAUACCAUGUCAAACCCUUGAGAAAUAUGAAACCCUUCCACAAAAUUCAUAAUGAUGAGAGACAAAGCCUGAGUAGGAUUGGGAAGGGGCUGCAAUAAUCCUGGAUGUGGAAGAUGCUCAACCUUAUUUCUUUGACAAGCAUCACAGUGUUGUAUAAACUGAAUGAUAUCUUAUUUCAUUUAAGGCCAGUAAAACAAUCCUUUAAUCCUUUGCAGACAUGCCCUCUGUCCUGAGUGACCUCCAAUAGAAGACUCAUAUAAUGCCUUCAUCAACCUCUGUCUAACAUUAUUGCCACUCCUAACAUAUAGUUUGUUUUUGCAUUUAAGUAGGCCUUGCACUAUUUGAUACUAAUCAUCCUGAUGUGACGAUAUUAAUGCUAGUUAUCUUAGCAAUUCUUGGCUUUGUUCAUCACCCUCAUUACUAGCCUGCAUUUCCUCUAUCCAUAAUGGUUUCAUAGCGGUCGAAGCCAUAAGAGAUUGAGCAUGUUCCUUCCCAACUAUCAUGCCAGAUUCUCUCCCGGAUAGCACAUCUGCUAUAAUGUUUUCUGCACCCUUUUUUAUACUAGAUUUCAUAAUAUAAACCUAGUAGCUUAGUCAACCACUUAUAUUGGGCAAUAGUAGUCAACCUUUGUUCCAACAAAUAUUUCAAGGGCUGGUGAUCAGUCCUGAUAAUAAAAUGACUACCAACCAAAUAGUGUCUUCACUUAGUGAUUUCUAGAACUAAUGCCAUCAAUUCUUUUUCGUACACAAACAGACCCAAGAAUUAGGUGGAAACUGCUCUACCAAUGAAUGCUAUUGGAUGGCCUUCUUGCAAUAACACUGCCCCCAUCCCAAUUCCCGAAGCAUCUGUUUCUACUAUGAAAGGAAUAUUAAAAUCUGGUAGUCUCAAUACUAGAGAUUGAUUGAUUGCCAACUUGAGCAAAUCAAAUGAUUCUCGUGACUCUGUACCCUAAGUAAAUGUAUCCUUCUGCAAUAAGGAAGUCAGUGAUUUAUAUAUAGUGCCAGAUCCUUUGAUAAAACACCGAUGAUAUCUUGUUAAUCCCAAAAAUUUCCUUAGUUUUUUAGCAGUUUUUGGUGUUCGCCAUGUCAUUAUGCAUUCCACUUUACUGCUGUCCAUAGUGACCCCUUGAUUAGAAAUUCCAUGCCCCAAAUAUUCCACUCUCCUUUGUGCAAAAGAGUACUUAGAAAAUUUAGCAAACAAGCUGUUUUCUUUAAGAACAAUCAAUACUUGUCUUAGAUGUUCAACAUGACCUGGUAGUGUAGGCCUAUACACCAAGAUAUCAUAGAAAAAUACCAAUACAAAUUUCCUCCGAAAAGAGCCAAAUACCUGGUUCAUAAGAGCUUGGAAAGUAGCAGAAGCAUUUGUUAGGCCAAAGGGUAUGACAAGAAAUUCACAGUGUCCUUGGUGUGUUUGAAAAGUAGUUUUGUAAGUAUCCACUACUUUGACUCUGAUCUGAUGACAUCUUAAUCUCAGAUCAAUUUUGGUGAAGCACUUUGCUCUAUGCAACUCACCCAACAAUUUAUCAAUGUUGGGAAUUGGACAUCUGUCCUUGAAAGUUAUGUCAUUUAAGUGUCUAUAGUCCACACAAAAGUGCCAAAUAUUGUCUUUCUUCUUUACCAGUAGCACUGGUGAAGCAUAUGGGCUACAACUAUGUUUAAUAAGUUCUGCCUGCAACAUUUCAGCUACUUGCUUCUCAAUUUCAUCCUUAUGUGAAUGAGGAUAUCUAUAGGGUUUCUUCAUCUUAAAAUGUUGUGAUCCAAGUUUAAGAGGAAUUCGGUGAUCCAGCUCUUUAGAAGUCGGUAACUAUUUGGGAUAUUCAAAGACUUCAUGAAAUUGAUCCAACAUUUCAGUUAUUAGCUCUGGUGUCUCCCUUUGCUGUUUAGUUGAGUCAUUGAGCUGCAGCAAAUUAUUAUAACAUCUCCUCUUGGUUUGUGAAAAACUUCUGAGGUUUUUUUUCCUUACUAGAUCCAUGUUGGCUUCAUUAACUGCACCAUGCAAAGUGAUAGCUUCACUCUGAUGGAAUAUUGACAGACUGAAUUUGUGGAAAUCAAAUGUAAUGGAGCAGUAGUGAUACAUCUAAUCAACCCCCAGAAUUAUGUCCUAUUCUCCCAGUUCCAUAAUUCUUAAGUUAUAACAAAACCCAUACCUCUGCAUAUUCCACAGAACCUUUGGACACUUAGCAUAGCUAGUUACAUAACUUUUAUCCCCCAUGAUCAUAAUAAAAGGUUUGAUGUAUUCAUAAGGAAUUCCCAUCUCAGAAACUAGUUUAUGAUGAAUAUAGCUGCAAGAACUUCUAGCAUCCAUUAGUAUCUUAAUAGUUUCACCAGCAACCUUUCCCUAGAUCAAGAUAGUAUUUCUUCUUAAAAAGUCAGAAAAUGCAUUCAAGGACAUCUCUAUAGAUUCUCCAGGAUCUCCAAGGUACUCAUCUUGCUCCCCAAUAGAAUCAACAAAUUCAGUUUCAUCAUCUUCUUCACACAACAAAAAAUUAAAGAUGUUUCAUCCUGCAUUGAUGACCUACCACAUACUUUUCUCCACAGUUAAAGCAAAGUCCAUUGUUUCUUCUAAACUGAGUCUCUUGAGGUGAAAUUUUCUUUUUAGUUUCUGAAGCCUUACUAGUUCCUUCUUACCACUCUAUUGUGUAGGCAACUUAUAAUGAUAAUUUCCCCUACUAAUGCAUGUAGGACUCUUCUAUAGCCCAAAUUUUGGUUAUGUUAACACUUUAUUUCCUUCUUUUAACUAUUUUGAACUAUUCAAGGCUUGUUCUUGCAGAUAUGCCAUCUUUACUGCUCCAAAAAGGGUUACAGGUUUGAGCAUCUUUAACAUGGGUUUAAUCUCUUCCUUCAGUCCACUAGUAAAACCUGAAAUGACAUAUUCCUCACUCAAGCAAGGAUUCUUGAUCAACAUUAAGGUUUUUAAUUCUUUAAAUUUUUCCUGGUAUAUUUCAGCAGUGGUGGUCUACUACAACUUAUUAAAUUCCUUAACAAUGUCUUUGCUAAAAUGCUUAGAAAAUCUUCGACAUAGAAGUUCCUCAAAUUAAGUCCAAGUGAUUCUAGGUUUUUCUAAUUUGAUUUCUUGAAACCAAUUAUCAGCUUUACCUUCCAAAAACAUUUCCACCACAAACAUUUUUUGCUCAUCCAGAAUUUUAUUAACCAAGAAGUACUUAUUGUAUUUUCUUAACCAUUCCCUUGGUGCAUUUCCACAAAACAUGGGUAACUCAACUUUGGGAAAUUGUAGGAGAAAUUCUUACCUAGCAUAUCGCAGCUUUUGACUUCUAAAUCCACCCCCAUAUUCAAUUUCAGGUUGCUGUGAGGUUUUGGGAAUAAGGGAAAGCGAUCUCCUCCACUUCGAUCCUCCUCCGCCCGUUAUUCAGCAACAUCUUGACCAGUGAAUUAAAUUUCUGGUUAACAGAAGGAAGUUGUUAUUCAUUCAUC
rnacentral:lncRNA from 1 species